UGCGGAGGGACGCAGUGAGGUAGCUCAUCCCCGGUGAUGGUUGUCCGGGGCUAAGUGUGUGGACUGUCUGGUAGGUAAAUCCGCUGGGCGUGAAGGUUGAGGCAUGAUGGGGAGCCCAUGGUUGUGGGUGAGUGAGUGAUCCUGUACUGUCGAGAAAAGCUUCGUGAGCGAGGUGGCGGGUCCGCCCGUACCCUAAACCGACACUGGUGGAUAGGUAGAGUAUACCGAGGCGAUCGAGUGAAUCGUGGUGAAGGAACUCGGCAAAAUGCCCCCGUAACUUUGGGAUAAGGGGGACCUGAGCUGUCGUGCACCCGUGCGGUGUGGUGGCGGUGAGGGGCGCAGAGUCCAGGGGGAAACGACUGUUUACCAAAAACACAGGUCCGUGCGAAGUCGUAAGACGAUGUAUACGGACUGACUCCUGCCCGGUGCUGGAAGGUUAAGGGGAACUGUGAGUGUAUGCGUAGCGGUGAACUUAAGCCCCAGUAAACGGCGGUGGUAACUAUAACCAUCCUAAGGUAGCGAAAUUCCUUGUCGGGUAAGUUCCGACCUGCACGAAUGGAGUAACGAUUUCCCUACUGUCUCCACCAUGAACUCGGUGAAAUUGCAUUACGAGUAAAGAUGCUCGUUACGCGCAGCAGGACGGAAAGACCCCGGGACCUUUACUAUAGUUUGGUAUUGGUGAUUGGGACGGUUUGUGUAGGAUAGGUGGGAGACGUUGAUGCGGCCACGCUAGUGGUGGUGGAGUCGUUGGUGAAAUACCACUCUGAUUGUUCUGGUUAUCUCACUGUGGACCGUGAUCCGGUUCAAGGACAGUGCCUGAUGGGUAGUUUGACUGGGGCGGUCGCCUCCUAAAGGGUAACGGAGGCGCCCAAAGGUUCCCUCAGCCUGGUUGGUAAUCAGGUGGUGAGUGUAAGUGCACAAGGGGGCUUGACUGUGAGACUGACAGGUCGAGCAGGGACGAAAGUCGGGACUAGUGAUCUGACGGUGGCUUGUGGAUGCGCCGUCACUCAACGGAUAAAAGGUACCCCGGGGAUAACAGGCUGAUCUUGCCCGAGCGCUCAUAGCGACGGCAUGGUUUGGCACCUCGAUGUCGGCUCGUCGCAUCCUGGGGCUGGAGUCGGUCCCAAGGGUUGGGCUGUUCGCCCAUUAAAGCGGCACGCGAGCUGGGUUCAGAACGUCGUGAGACAGUUCGGUCCCUAUCCGCUGCGCGCGGAGGAAUCUUGAGAAGGGCUGUCUUUAGUACGAGAGGACCGAGACGGACUGACCUCUGGUGUGCCAGUUGUUCUGCCAAGAGCAUGGCUGGUUGGCUACGUCGGGUUGUGAUAACCGCUGAAAGCAUCUAAGCGGGAAGCACGCUUCAAGAUAAGGGUUCCCACAGGAGUGUUCCUGGUAAGGUCCCCGAGAGAUGAUCGGGUUGAUAGGCCAGACGUGGACGCAUCGUAAGGUGUGGAGCUGACUGGUACUAAUAGACCGAGGACUUUCAUU
rnacentral:rRNA from 1 species